GUAAUGCUUGGGAAUCUGGCUUAUGGAGGGGGAUAACUGUGGGAAACUGCAGCUAAUACCGCGUAUUCUCUGAGGAGGAAAGGGUGGGACCUUAGGGCCACCUGCCAUAAGAUGAGCCCAAGUGGGAUUAGGUAGUUGGUGGGGCAAAGGCCUACCAAGCCUGCGAUCUCUAGCUGGUCUGAGAGGAUGACCAGCCACACUGGAACUGAGACACGGUCCAGACUCCUACGGGAGGCAGCAGUGGGGAAUAUUGCGCAAUGGGGGGAACCCUGACGCAGCCAUGCCGCGU
rnacentral:rRNA from 1 species